rnacentral:rRNA from 1 species
GAAUAUUGGACAAUGGGGGGAACCCUGAUCCAGCCAUGCCGCGUGGGUGAAGAAGGCCUUUUGGUUGUAAAGCACUUUAAGCGAGGAGGAGGAGCUCUUGGUUAAUACCCAAGAUGCUUGGACGAUACUCGCAGAAUAGGCACCGGCUCACUCUGUGCCAGCAGCCGGGGUAAUUAAGGGGGGUCAAGCGUUAAUCGGAGUUACUGGGCGUAAAGCGGGGGUAGGUGGCCAAUUAAGUCAAAUGUUAAAUCCCCGAGCUUAACUUGGGGAUUGCAUUCGAUACUGGUUGGCUAGAGUAUGGGAGAGGAUGGUAGAAUUCCAGGUGUAGCGGUGAAAUGCGUAGAGAUCUGGAGGAAUACCGAUGGCGAAGGCAGCCAUCUGGCCUAAUACUGACACUGAGGUGCGAAAGCAUGGGGAGCAAACA